rnacentral:rRNA from 1 species
AGUGAACGCUGGCGGUAGGCCUAACACGUGCAAGUCGAACGGCAGCACAGUAAGAGCUUGCUCUUACGGGUGGCGAGUGGCGGACGGGUGAGGAAUACAUCGGAAUCUACUUUUUCGUGGGGGAUAACGUAGGGAAACUUACGCUAAUACCGCAUACGACCUACGGGUGAAAGCAGGGGAUCUUCGGACCUUGCGCGAUUGAAUGAGCCGAUGUCGGAUUAGCUAGUUGGCGGGGUAAAGGCCCACCAAGGCGACGAUCCGUAGCUGGUCUGAGAGGGUGAUCAGCCACACUGGAACUGAGACACGGUCCAGACUCCUACGGGAGGCAGCAGUGGGGAAUAUUGGACAAUGGGCGCAAGCCUGAUCCAGCCAUACCGCGUGGGUGAAGAAGGCCUUCGGGUUGUAAAGCCCUUUUGUUGGGAAAGAAAAGCAGCAGGUUAAUACCCCGCUGUUCUGACGGUACCCAAAGAAUAAGCACCGGCUAACUUCGUG